GUACACCGACGAAUGAACCACAGUUCCACACUCUCAUGCGAGACAUUUGUUUGCAUUCGAUUCUAUCACGUAACGUAACUCGAAAUGACAGUCAAUAUUCGAGAUCAGAGGAAUCGAUCGUAUCGAUCGAGCGGACUGUUGAAAAAUCUUCUAACUCACUUCAUUGCAAAACAUUGCAUUGUAACAAUAAUUAAAGAACAGGUUAUGGUGCGCAUUUCGGAUCUAUAAUUAAUGUCGAUCAGUUUUUUAAGAGUUCAUACACAAUCAUUUGUAUUUACGUGAAAAUAAAAUUUUUUACGCCUGUCGAUUCUAUUGUUCUCGAGAUAAUAAUUCAAUUUUAAAUGGCGAAUUAAUGAGACUUUAAUCAAUCUUCGAGAGCUAAUUAAGAUUAAAAUUAUUUUGUAUUCAAAAGGUGAAUGUAGUUUCCUAACAACGAACGCAGGACUAUAACGCCAGGAUUAUAAUGAUACUAUUGUUUCAUACAAUGACGAGAUGAAAGAAGAAAAUUGAGAUUCGACUGAAGCCCAUUAUCGGUCAAUCUAUUAUUUUGCAGUUCAAGUUUCAUUGAUAAGGUUAGGAAAAUGUUUUUGAGCCUCUCCUUGGAGAAAUGAGAAACGAUCGUACUACGACACAAGAAUAAAUGAUUAAUCGUCUGAGAAGAGGAGUCUGGUCGAUCCUCCCCGAUUUUAUCUGUCGUACAGGGAUUCUGGCGGCAAUCCAGCCACGGUGAUUGCCUAUUUUAUGUGUUAAAAUAAAUCUCUCGUUCUGUCGUGGCCUUUCUGCCGCGGGGAAAACAGGCAUGCGUACACGGCCCUUUGUCUCUCAAUUCAAAUCCGAUGCUCGGCCUCUCGCGUUCGUCAAACGCGACAAAUCGCCAAUUCACCGAUAUUUCCGGCCUCUAAAUCGCCGACCUACUCCUGUCAACUUGUGCAAUGUUCCCGCGGUAACAAUUAACCAUAAUUAACAGCGGUGGAAAUAAAUUCAGGUGACACGUUCGAAGUACACAAUGCUUGACCAUUGAUGGCUGGUAUUAUUGUUGCAAAUCAACCCGAAGAAAAGUUAAAUCUUAUAAAAUUUCCAUUUGAAAAAUGAAUUAUUAUAUCGAACAUAACAUGAUUAACAGAAAUAAAAAUAUUAAUACGAAGAAUGCUAUAAUGUUAAGAAUGUAUGUAUAUUUUGUACUAAAUUAUGUUAAGUCUAAGAGAGAUUGAAGUUAACAAAAUUUUAAAUCAACUUCCAGAGUAUUCUUGUACAAUAGCCUUGCUAACCAUUGUUAACUUCUUUACUUCCUGGAAAUUAUUUUGGAGAAUUUUCGAACAAAUAGAAAAUGGAACAUAAGGUAAAAGAUGAUGAGAUGGUCAGUUCUGUUUCUACGUUUUCACGUGCACGAGGACGAAUGCUAUUGAUUCCAUUGCAGUUCAGAUUGCGACUAAAAGCACCUGGUGGUCGUUUUAACGAGUAUUCCGGAAGAGAAUUGCUCGGACAACGCCGGGCGAUCAACCAAUACCCGGGUGACGUUGCAUAAUACAGAAUUAAGAAACAUCACUAAAGGAGCUCAGGUUGCGAUUUAACAGAAAUCAAUUUGUCACUAUGAUUACGUAAUAAUGGCUGAGUCAAAAAUCGUCGAUUACCAUGCCCUAAUGAAAAUUCCAGCAUGAAACAGUAAAUCAGCCUUAGGCAGUGAAAGAAGAAAUUAAUUGGCAACAAUAUAUUGUCGAAAGUCUUUUCUUAAAGAAUUGGACUGUAAUUCGACAAUUAUUCUUCAAGUUAGGUCAAAGCUCGGCGAUCCCAAGUUACAUAUCGAUUUUAAAUUAUUCUGGAGGGCCAUUUGCACGAAGGAUAAAAUGGGCUACGAGGUGCUCGAAAUAAUUAGAGGAUCGUCUCUAUUCUAUUGAGUUUAUUGCUUAACAAUUUAUUCUCAGUGUCUUAGAAACCUGAUAAACGUCAGUCACAUUUAA